rnacentral:rRNA from 1 species
UUGAACGCUGGCGGUAUGCUUAAGACAUGCAAGUCGAACGGGGCCCUUCGGGGUUCAGUGGCGGACGGGUGAGUAACACGUGGGAAUCUGCCCAAUAGUGGGGGACAGCCCGGCGAAAGCCGGAUUAAUACCGCAUACGCCCUACGAGGGAAAGGCGCAAGCCGCUAUUGGAUGAGCCCGCGUAAGAUUAGCUAGUUGGUGAGGUAAAGGCCCACCAAGGCAACGAUCUUUAGCUGGUCUGAGAGGAUGGCCAGCCACAUCGGGACUGAGACACGGCCCGGACUCCUACGGGAGGCAGCAGUCGGGAAUAUUGGACAAUGGGCGCAAGCCUGAUCCAGCAAUACCGCGUGUGUGAAGAAGGCCUGCGGGUUGUAAAGCACUUUCAGUGGGGAAGAUAAUGACGUUACCCACGGAAGAAGCACCGGCUAACUCCGU